GGAACUACAUUUCCCAGAAGGCCACGGGGUAGGGUGGCUGUGGGGUUGGUCCGGCCAUUCCAGCCAGCCACGAGUAGCGUCCUAGCUCCGGUCUCCCGUCCGGGACUGGCAGAAGCAUGGAUGUCGACGGCCGGUGGCGGAACCUGCCCAGCGGGCCCAGCCUAAAGCAUUUAACCGACCCCUCGUACGGGAUUCCCCCAGAGCAGCAAAAGGCAGCUUUGCAGGACCUGACGCGGGCGCACGUGGACUCCUUCAACUACGCGGCGCUGGAGGGGCUGAGCCACGCGGUGCAGGCCAUACCUCCCUUUGAAUUUGCUUUCAAAGAUGAGCGCAUAUCUCUUACCAUUGUGGAUGCUGUCAUCAGUCCACCCUCAGUGCCCAAAGGGACCAUCUGCAAAGAUCUCAACGUUUAUCCAGCUGAGUGUCGUGGCCGAAAGAGCACCUACCGAGGGAGGCUGACGGCUGAUAUCAGCUGGGCCGUGAAUGGAGUCCCCAAAGGGAUCAUUAAACAGUUUCUCGGCUAUGUUCCCAUCAUGGUGAAGUCCAAGCUUUGCAACUUAUACAACCUUCCUCCUCGAGUCCUCAUUGAGCACCAUGAGGAGGCAGAGGAAAUGGGCGGUUAUUUUAUAAUCAAUGGCAUAGAAAAAGUCAUCCGCAUGUUGAUUGUGCCCCGGAGAAAUUUCCCCAUCGCCAUGGUAAGGCCGAAAUGGAAAAGCAGAGGACUCGGCUACACUCAGUUUGGGGUCUCCAUGCGCUGUGUGAGAGAAGAGCACUCCGCCGUGAACAUGAACCUGCACUAUGUGGAGAACGGCACGGUUAUGUUAAACUUUAUUUACCGCAAAGAGCUCUUUUUCCUUCCUUUGGGAUUUGCACUUAAGGCACUCGUGAGCUUUUCUGAUUAUCAGAUUUUCCAGGAGCUUAUCAAGGGCAAAGAGGAGGACUCUUUCUUUAGGAAUUCUGUUUCUCAGAUGCUGCGGAUUGUCAUAGAAGAGGGCUGUCACUCACAGAAGCAGGUUCUUAACUAUCUGGGAGAAUGCUUCCGAGUGAAGCUCAGCCUUCCUGAUUGGUACCCUAACGUGGAAGCUGCCGAGUUCCUGCUUAACCAGUGCAUCUGCAUCCACCUGCAGUCCAACACUGACAAGUUCUACCUGCUCUGCCUCAUGACCCGGAAGCUGUUCGCUUUAGCCAGAGGGGAGUGCAUGGACGACAACCCUGAUAGCCUAGUGAACCAAGAGGUCCUCAGCCCUGGGCAGCUCUUCCUGAUGUUUCUGAAGGAAAAAAUGGAAAACUGGCUAGUGUCUAUUAAAAUAGUUUUAGAUAAGAGGGCUCAGAAGGCCAAUGUUUCCAUAAACAACGAAAAUUUGAUGAAGAUUUUUAGUAUGGGAACAGAGCUAACAAGACCAUUUGAAUAUCUUCUUGCUACUGGGAAUCUGCGUUCUAAAACAGGUCUCGGCUUCCUGCAAGAUUCUGGCCUGUGUGUUGUGGCUGACAAGCUGAACUUCCUUCGCUACCUCUCCCAUUUCCGCUGUGUGCACAGAGGGGCUGCCUUUGCCAAGAUGAGGACCACCACCGUGCGCAGGCUGCUGCCAGAAUCCUGGGGCUUCCUCUGCCCUGUGCACACUCCAGACGGGGCGCCUUGUGGGCUGUUGAACCACUUGACUGCCGUGUGUGAGGUUGUUACCAAGUUUGUGUACACGGCAUCUAUUCCAGCCUUGCUCUGUGGCUUAGGAGUCACUCCUGUUGAUACAGCGCCAUGUCGACCGUACAGUGACUGCUACCCUGUCCUGCUGGAUGGCGUCAUGGUGGGCUGGGUGGAUAAGGACCUUGCUCCUGAAGUUGCAGACACUCUCCGUCGAUUCAAGGCUGGUGAGGCCUGUGCAGAACUUGGAACUGGGCAGAGAAGAGCUCAUUGGAACCAUGGAACAGCUCUUCAUGAACGUCGCCAUCUUUGAGGACGAGGUGUUUGGUGGCAUCUCCACACACCAGGAGCUCUUCCCUCACAGCCUGCUGAGCGUGAUCGCCAACUUCAUCCCCUUCUCGGAUCACAACCAGAGUCCUCGGAACAUGUACCAGUGCCAGAUGGGUAAGCAGACCAUGGGCUUUCCGCUGCUCACUUACCAAAACCGAUCAGAUAAUAAACUCUAUCGACUCCAAACCCCUCAGAGCCCUCUAGUGAGACCGUGCAUGUAUGAUUUCUAUGACAUGGACAACUAUCCGAUCGGGACAAACGCCAUUGUAGCUGUGAUCUCCUACACUGGCUAUGAUAUGGAGGACGCCAUGAUUGUCAACAAGGCUUCCUGGGAACGAGGCUUCGCUCAUGGAAGCGUCUACAAGUCUGAGUUCAUAGACCUCUCAGAGAAGUUUAAGCAGGGAGAGGAUAACCUGGUGUUCGGGGUCAAGCCUGGUGACCCUCGGGUGAUGCAGAAGCUGGACGAUGAUGGGUUGCCAUUCAUAGGCGCAAAGCUGGAGUAUGGCGACCCUUACUACAGCUACCUCAACCUUAACACUGGGGAAGGCUUCGUGGUUUACUACAAGAGUAAAGAAAACUGUGUUGUGGACAACAUCAAAGUGUGUAGUAACGACAUGGGCAGUGGGAAGUUCAAGUGUAUCUGCAUCACAGUCCGCAUCCCCCGGAACCCAACCAUUGGAGAUAAGUUUGCCAGCCGACAUGGUCAGAAGGGCAUUUUGAGCAGAUUGUGGCCAGCCGAGGACAUGCCUUUCACUGAGAGUGGCAUGAUGCCGGACAUUCUGUUUAAUCCUCACGGGUUUCCCUCCCGUAUGACCAUAGGUAUGUUAAUCGAGAGCAUGGCUGGGAAGUCUGCAGCUUUGCACGGUCUCUGCCAUGAUGCUACACCCUUCAUCUUCUCCGAGGAGAACUCUGCCUUAGAGUACUUUGGUGAGAUGUUAAAGGCUGCUGGCUACAACUUCUACGGCACCGAGAGACUGUAUAGUGGCAUCAGUGGGAUGGAGCUGGAGGCUGACAUCUUCAUUGGUGUGGUUUAUUACCAGCGCUUACGACACAUGGUGUCAGACAAAUUUCAAGUCAGAACAACUGGAGCCAGGGACAAAGUCACCAACCAGCCCCUCGGGGGACGAAAUGUUCAGGGUGGAAUCCGCUUUGGGGAGAUGGAGCGGGAUGCUCUGUUGGCACACGGUACGUCUUUCCUUCUUCAUGACCGGCUUUUCAACUGCUCUGACCGUUCUGUCGCUCACAUGUGUGUAGAGUGUGGCAGUUUGCUUUCUCCGCUACUUGAGAAGCCUCCUCCGUCUUGGUCUGCGAUGCGCAACAGAAAGUACAACUGCACUGUCUGUGGCCGCAGUGACACCAUCGACACCGUCUCUGUGCCGUAUGUCUUCCGGUACUUUGUAGCUGAGCUGGCAGCCAUGAACAUCAAAGUGAAACUGGAUGUCAUCUGACUUGAUCCCCGCCAUCUGAGCUAGGAGAUAAGAACAGGAGGUGUCCUGUAUAACACAAGUGAGGGUAUUAUGGGCUCACUCUGGGUCUAUACAAGAAUUUCAGUACUGAAGCCAAGAACAGGCAGGUGAAAAUUCAAGACUUCUGAGUCUCUGUAACCUACUGAAGUUGGUUUUCAUAUCUUUUUCAAGACAGGGUUUCUCUGUGUAGCCCUGGCUGUCCUGGAACUCACUUUGUAGACCAGGCUGGUCUCAAACUCAGAAAUCCACCUGCCUCUGCCUCCUGAGUGCUGGGAUUAAAGGCGUGCGCCACCACGCCCAGCCUCAUAUCUUUUUUUAAAAAAGUUAUUUUUGUGCCUUUAAAAAAUGACUUAAUUGAUAAUAGAUCAUGCAGGGCAGGGCGCCUUCUUUCUGGGCCCAGGUUCACUGCUCCCUGCUUUCAGUAGCAGAGGGUGUCUGUUAUCCAGAGCAGGCCAGUACAAUAAACAGAAAAUGGAAGCCAUAUGUGUGAUUUUUAUUUUUAUAUACAUAGAAACUAAAGCUAGUUCAUGUAUAUAAUUUGAUGGGUAAAUUGGAAUGUAGGUGUGGUCUGUGAUGUCAUUAUCACAGUCAAGGUGAGUAACUAGAUCUGUUGGUCAGUGUUGAGUGCUGCAGUAGAGAGAGCAGCUCACCAAGAUGCUAACCAUUUUCCACAGGAGCAAAGGAGCUCAGCCUUCUUGAAAAGACUGACCCCAGCUAGCACAUAGCAGUUACUUUUAUCCAGUCAUUAUACAAAAUUAAUUGGGUCGGGAAAGGUUCCAACUACCAGAGUUAUCUUGCUUGCCCUUGCUGUCCGAGAGAGCAGACAGCCCACACAAAUCCCUUUUUGACCAUGGCUAGCCAUAAUCAAGAGCAAGAACUCCAGGUUUGCCAGGAGUGUCUUAGUACCAAGGUCUGUGCAGCUGAAAACAGUGCAGACUUUGGAGGAAGACAACAUUUCUUCAAGGUUCAAACGUCUCAAAACAAUUUCUUAACCUCUGCUUAUUAACCUAGACAUAGCUUUGCUGAAACAGUUCACUCAAACCAGACACAAAGGUUUCCUAUAAAUUUCACUACACAGAUUCAUCAUCUCCAAAGUUUCCUUGUGCACCUUUGAGUGGUGUGUGUGUGUGCGUGCGUGUGCGUGCGUGCGUGCGUGCGUGCGUGCGUGCGCGCGCAUGUGGUGGGAUCAUGCAGCACCCGUCCUGUGUGAUGGGCAUCUUUCAUGUAGCAUGACCUCGUCUACGCUCAGCCGUGUUUUUGAACAUGGUGGGACUUCCUCCUCCUUUAAGGCUGAAUGUAUCUGAUUAUUGAGUAACUAUGUUCCUUUGCCUUUUUGCUAACCUCUGUAUGCGUUUCUCCGUGCUUGUUAGGGUUCUGUGUGUGCUUGUGUAUAACAUCUUACACAGCCGUACUGCUCCCUGUGAAUGGGUGUUUGAAUUUUUUUCAUAAGGAGAACACCUUGAAUUGGUUGAUCCUUCCCCUGUGUUAACAGCUCAACUUUAGACCCGCACAACCUAUUCUCUGUCUCUUCACAAUAUCGUAGCUGGGGAUAGUGUGCAGAUCUAGUGUCCAAGUAUUUGUGUUCUAAGGGUCUUGUUGCCCGUGAACUAGUCACCUCCCUGCUCCAGCCUCCCGAGUGUGAGAAUUAGCAUCAUAUCCCACAAUACCUCGCUAAAUUUUUUAAAAUUAACUUUUGAUCUUAAAUUGUAGAUUCUUGACUAAAAAAAUCUAUGUGACAUUAAGACAACCUGGGCGCUUACUCAGACUUGGCAGUUUUAUGUGCUCUUAUGUAUAGUUAGUUGCAUGGACUGUUAUCCUCUGGGUAGAUUGCUGUUACACACAGGACAUUAUUACAAGCUUGUCCUGUUGUGUCUUCUCUCAUUAUCUCUAACCCUUCAACAUAUUCUCAAUAAUUUCAAGAAAUACAUGUAAAUAGAAUCAUGGCA